rnacentral:rRNA from 1 species
AUUGAACGCUGGCGGCAUGCUUUACACAUGCAAGUCGAACGGUAACAGGCCUUCGGGUGCUGACGAGUGGCGAACGGGUGAGUAAUGCAUCGGAACGUACCCAGAGGUGGGGGAUAACGCAGCGAAAGCUGUGCUAAUACCGCAUGUGAUCUGAGGAUGAAAGCGGGGGACCGAGCAGCAAUGUUUGGCCUCGCGCCUUUGGAGCGGCCGAUGUCGGAUUAGCUAGUUGGUGGGGUAAAGGCCUACCAAGGCGACGAUCCGUAGCUGGUCUGAGAGGACGACCAGCCACACUGGGACUGAGACACGGCCCAGACUCCUACGGGAGGCAGCAGUGGCGAAUUUUGGACAAUGGGCGCAAGCCUGAUCCAGCAAUGCCGCGUGCGGGAAGAAGGCCUUCGGGUUGUAAACCGCUUUUGGCAGGAACGAAACGGUGUCCGCUAAUACCGGGCGCUAAUGACGGUACCUGCAGAAUAAGCACCGGCUAACUACGUG